rnacentral:rRNA from 1 species
UACGUAGGGUGCAAGCGUUGUCCGGAAUUAUUGGGCGUAAAGAGCUCGUAGGCGGUUUGUCGCGUCUGCUGUGAAAACUCGGGGCUUAACCCCGGGCCUGCAGUGGGUACGGGCAGACUAGAGUGCGGUAGGGGAGACUGGAGUUCCUGGUGUAGCGGUGAAAUGCGCAGAUAUCAGGAGGAACACCGGUGGCGAAGGCGGGUCUCUGGGCCGUAACUGACGCUGAGGAGCGAAAGCGUGGGGAGCGAACAGG